GGGUGCGGCGCUACCAUGCAGUCGAGCGGAACGAGUUAUCUGAACCUUCGGGGAACGAUAACGGCGUCGAGCGGCGGACGGGUGAGUAAUGCCUAGGAAAUUGCCCUGAUGUGGGGGAUAACCAUUGGAAACGAUGGCUAAUACCGCAUGAUGCCUACGGGCCAAAGAGGGGGACCUUCGGGCCUCUCGCGUCAGGAUAUGCCUAGGUGGGAUUAGCUAGUUGGUGAGGUAAGGGCUCACCAAGGCGACGAUCCCUAGCUGGUCUGAGAGGAUGAUCAGCCACACUGGAACUGAGACACGGUCCAGACUCCUACGGGAGGCAGCAGUGGGGAAUAUUGCACAAUGGGCGCAAGCCUGAUGCAGCCAUGCCGCGUGUGUGAAGAAGGCCUUCGGGUUGUAAAGCACUUUCAGUCGUGAGGAAGGUAGUGUAGUUAAUAGCUGCAUUAUUUGACGUUAGCGACAGAAGAAGCACCGGCUAACUCCGUGCCAGCAGCCGCGGUAAUACGGAGGGUGCGAGCGUUAAUCGGAAUUACUGGGCGUAAAGCGCAUGCAGGUGGUUUGUUAAGUCAGAUGUGAAAGCCCGGGGCUCAACCUCGGAAUAGCAUUUGAAACUGGCAGACUAGAGUACUGUAGAGGGGGGUAGAAUUUCAGGUGUAGCGGUGAAAUGCGUAGAGAUCUGAAGGAAUACCGGUGGCGAAGGCGGCCCCCUGGACAGAUACUGACACUCAGAUGCGAAAGCGUGGGGAGCAAACAGGAUUAGAUACCCUGGUAGUCCACGCCGUAAACGAUGUCUACUUGGAGGUUGUGGCCUUGAGCCGUGGCUUUCGGAGCUAACGCGUUAAGUAGACCGCCUGGGGAGUACGGUCGCAAGAUUAAAACUCAAAUGAAUUGACGGGGGCCCGCACAAGCGGUGGAGCAUGUGGUUUAAUUCGAUGCAACGCGAAGAACCUUACCUACUCUUGACAUCCAGAGAACUUUCCAGAGAUGGAUUGUGCCUUCGGGAACUCUGAGACAGGUGCUGCAUGGCUGUCGUCAGCUCGUGUUGGUGAAAUGUGGGUUAAGUCCCGCAACGAGCGCAA
rnacentral:rRNA from 1 species